UUGCCCAUCCAAGAUGGACAGUGUCUUAGGUGGCCAAUACAGAAGGGUAGAUAAUUUUCUCUCUCAAACCCAAGGCAAAGAAAUAGUCAAUGUUUUGGAUCCUGUCGAGUGGAACAUAU